rnacentral:rRNA from 1 species
UACGGGGGGAGCAAGCGUUGUUCGGAUUUACUGGGCGUAAAGGGCGCGUAGGCGGCGCAACAAGUCACUUGUGAAAUCUCCGGGCUUAACCCGGAGCGGCCAAGUGAUACUGUCGUGCUAGAGUGCGGAAGGGGCUACUGGAAUUCUCGGUGUAGCGGUGAAAUGCGUAGAUAUCAGGAGGAACACCGGUGGCGAAGGCGGGUCUCUGGGCCGAUACUGACGCUGAGGAGCGAAAGCGUGGGGAGCGAACAGG